rnacentral:misc_RNA from 1 species
AAGUCGUAACAAGGUUUCCGUAGGUGAACCUGCGGAAGGAUCAUUAACACUUUGUUAACCCAAAUAUCAACCAAAUGUGAACUGUAGCGUCCCUAUUCAUUGUCCUGUUGUUGGCGAAAUGCGAAACUUAACAGCAAUGCGAUAGACAAUACCCUCUUAGUAGUUAUCAUAAAUUCGUUUAUGAUGAUGAACUAUUAACCAAUUUUUAACCCUAUAACAUACAAAUUGUCUAAUCUUCAUGAACUUAUCUACUACUUAAUUGUGGUUAUUAAGCUUUACGAAAUAUUGAACAACUCUUAGCAAUGGAUAUCUUGGGUCAU